GGUCGAGUCGGCCUGCGCGGAAGAUGUAACGGGGCUAAACCAUGCACCGAAGCUGCGGCAGCGACACUGUGUGUUGUUGGGUAGGGGAGCGUUCUGUAAGCCUGUGAAGGUGGCCUGUGAGGGUUGCUGGAGGUAUCAGAAGUGCGAAUGCUGACAUAAGUAACGAUAAAGCGGGUGAAAAGCCCGCUCGCCGGAAGACCAAGGGUUCCUGUCCAACGUUAAUCGGGGCAGGGUGAGUCGACCCCUAAGGCGAGGCCGAAAGGCGUAGUCGAUGGGAAACGGGUUAAUAUUCCCGUACUUGGUGUUACUGCGAAGGGGGGACGGAGAAGGCUAUGUUGGCCGGGCGACGGUUGUCCCGGUUUAAGCGUGUAGGUGUGUGUUCCAGGUAAAUCCGGUUCACUUUAACACUGAGGCGUGACGACGAGGCACUACGGUGCUGAAGCAACAAAUGCCCUGCUUCCAGGAAAAGCCUCUAAGCAUCAGGUAACAUCAAAUCGUACCCCAAACCGACACAGGUGGUCAGGUAGAGAAUACCAAGGCGCUUGAGAGAACUCGGGUGAAGGAACUAGGCAAAAUGGUGCCGUAACUUCGGGAGAAGGCACGCUGACACGUAGGUGAAGUGAUUUACUCAUGGAGCUGAAGUCAGUCGAAGAUACCAGCUGGCUGCAACUGUUUAUUAAAAACACAGCACUGUGCAAACACGAAAGUGGACGUAUACGGUGUGACGCCUGCCCGGUGCCGGAAGGUUAAUUGAUGGGGUCAGCGCAAGCGAAGCUCCUGAUCGAAGCCCCGGUAAACGGCGGCCGUAACUAUAACGGUCCUAAGGUAGCGAAAUUCCUUGUCGGGUAAGUUCCGACCUGCACGAAUGGCGUAAUGAUGGCCAGGCUGUCUCCACCCGAGACUCAGUGAAAUUGAACUCGCUGUGAAGAUGCAGUGUACCCGCGGCAAGACGGAAAGACCCCGUGAACCUUUACUAUAGCUUGACACUGAACAUUGAGCCUUGAUGUGUAGGAUAGGUGGGAGGCUUUGAAGUGUGGACGCCAGUCUGCAUGGAGCCGACCUUGAAAUACCACCCUUUAAUGUUUGAUGUUCUAACGUGGACCCGUAAUCCGGGUUGCGGACAGUGUCUGGUGGGUAGUUUGACUGGGGCGGUCUCCUCCUAAAGAGUAACGGAGGAGCACGAAGGUUGGCUAAUCCUGGUCGGACAUCAGGAGGUUAGUGCAAUGGCAUAAGCCAGCUUGACUGCGAGCGUGACGGCGCGAGCAGGUGCGAAAGCAGGUCAUAGUGAUCCGGUGGUUCUGAAUGGAAGGGCCAUCGCUCAACGGAUAAAAGGUACUCCGGGGAUAACAGGCUGAUACCGCCCAAGAGUUCAUAUCGACGGCGGUGUUUGGCACCUCGAUGUCGGCUCAUCACAUCCUGGGGCUGAAGUAGGUCCCAAGGGUAUGGCUGUUCGCCAUUUAAAGUGGUACGCGAGCUGGGUUUAGAACGUCGUGAGACAGUUCGGUCCCUAUCUGCCGUGGGCGCUGGAGAACUGAGGGGGGCUGCUCCUAGUACGAGAGGACCGGAGUGGACGCAUCACUGGUGUUCGGGUUGUCAUGCCAAUGGCACUGCCCGGUAGCUAAAUGCGGAAGAGAUAAGUGCUGAAAGCAUCUAAGCACGAAACUUGCCCCGAGAUGAGUUCUCCCUGAGACUUUAGGUCUCCUGAAGGAACGUUGAAGACGACGACGUUGAUAGGCCGGGUGUGUAAGCGCAGCGAUGCGUUGAGCUAACCGGUACUAAUGAACCGUGAGGCUUAACCUUACAACGCCGAAG
rnacentral:rRNA from 1 species